AGAAGGCACUGACCGUAGCAACCAAUCCACCAAGUGCAUGUCGAGUGAGUGACAGGGAAAGCAUGUCCCAGAGCCGGGCUCCAGGCCCGAGCCUCUUGUCUGGGGCCUCUGAAGACAAGACGCUGUGUCCAGGCUCAGGUUCCUCCCCUCCCAUGGUUGAUUACAGACCUUCAGACGCCGCCAGAGUGCAGAGUCCCAGCUGCAGCGUGAGGCAGAGAAACCACCGGGACAUGACUCACCGCUGUGGGGAGGAAGGGAGGCGGAGGGGAGGGUUAGGGACUGAGUUAGGGAGUGAGUUAGGGCGAGGGACUGAGUGAGUGAGUUAGGGCGAGGGACUGAGUUAGGGAGGGAGUUAGGGCUAGGGUUAGGGACUGAGCGAGCGAGUUAGGGCGAGGGACUGAGAGAGCGAGUGAGUUACGGUUAGGGUAAGGGACUGAGUGAGUUAGGGUUGGGGUAAGGGACUUAGUGAGGUAGGGUUAGGGUAAGGCACUGAGUGAGUGAGUGAGUUAGGGUUAAGGUAAGGGACUGAGCGACUGAGUGAGUUAGGGCGAGGGACUGAGUGAGCGAGUGAUUAGGGAGAGGGACUGAGUGAGCGAGUGAGUUAGGGUUAGGGUAAGGCACUGGGUGAGCGAGUGAGUUAGGGCGAGGGACUGAGUGAGCGAGUGAGUUAGGGUUAGGAUAAGGGACUGAGUGAGUUAGGGUUAGGGACGGAGUGAGUGAGUUUGGCGAGUGAGUUUGAGCGAGCGAGUGGCUAAAUGCUGACGAGAAGGAGAUCGAUGAGGGGUUCUGACCCAGGGUACCCUUGGGGGUCUGUGUUGGGGGAUGCACAACAACUGCCAUAGUGUAUCCAAUGUCGUUUUCUAUCCUUGCUGUUGAUUCGAACAUUGAUCUUUUGUGUGCUUGUGUGUUUGUGUGUGUGUGUGUGUGUGUUGACUCAUAUGUCUCGCCUUCUGAUGUGGUGAGUUUGUCUUCGACACAGAUACCGGGGGCGGCGCAUUUAGACAAAGGCUGUGUGUGUGGGUUGGUGUGUGUGGGUUUGUGUGUGUAUGUCUUUGUCUGUUCUCCAGACUACGUCCCCCCUGUGAUGCAGCAGUAAAGGUGCGUUCACAUGCGGGUCGUUGAGACAGCGUGCGCGUCGCUAGAUCGGUCCUCGUGUUCUCGUUCUGACCAACCAAAUCCGCUGGCACGUGAUGGCGUGCUGCGCGGGAACUUCCCCCAUUGGAAAACAAUGGAGUGGAGGGGUUUAAAGCGUUUAAAGCUUCUCAUGUGAUCGCACCUCAAGACUGUUGAGCAGAUCAAUGUUCCAGGACGGGGAACCCCAGUCCGGGAUUCAAACUCAUGACACAAAUCAUUUAGGGAAAAUGUUUCUGUGCCUGUUUGUGUUUGAGGAGGAGAACCGGAGUGUGUGUGUGUGUGUGUGUGUGUGUGUGUGUGUGUGUGUGUG
ensembl:lncRNA